rnacentral:lncRNA from 1 species
UGGUGAUUCGUAAUUUUAUUAUACAAUACAAGAUAAAGUAACAAAUCUUAACUAUAAAAUUAAACAAAUAAUUCAUCAACAGAUCUCUGAUAAAAAAAUAGAGAUUACAAUGAGGCUGUUUACGGUUUAACACACCUGAAAUAUUGGUACACUCAGAUCCUAUACAAAAACAUUGGGUAUAAUUUAUAGCAUAUAAGUUAAUUCAUAGAUAUGAUAGAGGCAACACAAAAUAAUAUUAGUUUCUCAGACUUCACAAUUAAUGAAAAGAGGUGAGAAAUCCAUGUUCCUCAUUU